CCUACGGGUGGCAGCAGUGGGGAAUAUUGGACAAUGGGCGAAAGCCUGAUCCAGCCAUGCCGCGUGUGUGAAGAAGGCCUUCGGGUUGUAAAGCACUUUCAGUGGGGAAGAAAGCCUUGGGGCUAAUACCCUCGAGGAAGGACAUCACCCACAGAAGAAGCACCGGCUAACUCCGUGCCAGCAGCCGCGGUAAUACGGAGGGUGCGAGCGUUAAUCGGAAUUACUGGGCGUAAAGCGCGCGUAGGCGGUCUGAUAAGCCGGUUGUGAAAGCCCCGGGCUCAACCUGGGAACGGCAUCCGGAACUGUCAGGCUAGAGUGCAGGAGAGGAAGGUAGAAUUCCCGGUGUAGCGGUGAAAUGCGUAGAGAUCGGGAGGAAUACCAGUGGCGAAGGCGGCCUUCUGGACUGACACUGACGCUGAGGUGCGAAAGCGUGGGUAGCAAACAGGAUUAAUACCUUGUAGUC
rnacentral:rRNA from 1 species